CAAAGGUAUGGUCCCGACCUUAUUAUCAGCUGUGACGCAACUUACACAUGCAAGUCUCCGCAGCCCCGUGAGUAUGCCCUCAACCCCCCUUUCGGGGGAGGGAGGAGCGGGCAUCAGGCACAACAUUUAGCCCAAGACGCCAAGAUAAACCACACCCCCAAGGGAAUUCAGCAGUGAUAGACAUUAAGCCAUAAGUGAAAACUUGACUUAGACAGCGCUAAAUUGGGCCGGUAAAACUCGUGCCAGCCACCGCGGUUAGACGAGAGGCCCUAGUUGAUAAUACAACGGCGUAAAGGGUGGUUAGGGAAUACAAUAUAAUAAAGCCGAAUGGCCCCUUGGCUGUUAUACGCUUCUAGACGUCCGAAGUCCUUAUACGAAAGUAGCUUCAAUUUAAAUUACCCGACCCCACGAAAGCUAAGAAACAAACUGGGAUUAGAUACCCCACUAUGCCUAGCCAUAAACUUAGAUAUUUAACUACUGCAAAAUAUCCGCCAGAGUACUACGAGCAUUAGCUUAAAACCCAAAGGACCUGACGGUGUCUCAGACCCACCUAGAGGAGCCUGUUCUAAAACCGAUAAUCCCCGUUCAACCUUACCACUUCUAGCAAUAUCAGUCUAUAUACCGCCGUCGUUGGCUUACCCUGUGAAGGUAGAAUAGUGAGCAAAAUGAGCACAACCCAAAACGCCAGGUCGAGGUGUAGCGUAUGAUGUGGGAAGAAAUGGGCUACAUUUUCUAUUACAGAAUAUACGAAUAUGCACCAUGAAACGGUGCUUGAAGGAGGAUUUAGUAGUAAAAGGAAAAUAGAGUGUUCCUUUGAAUCCGGCUCUGAGACGCGUACACACCGCCCGUCACUCUCCCCUAAAAAUAUACUAAAAAUAAUUAAUUACAUAACAUUAACAUAAGGGUAGGCAAGUCGUAACAAGGUAAGUGUACCGGAAGGUGCACUUGGAAUUAACU
rnacentral:ncRNA from 1 species